rnacentral:rRNA from 1 species
UUGAACGCUGGCGGCAUGCCUUACACAUGCAAGUCGUACGGUAACAGGUCUUCGGAUGCUGACGAGUGGCGACCGGGUGAGUAAUACAUCGGAACGUGCCCGAUCGUGGGGGAUAACGAGGCGAAAGCUUUGCUAAUACCGCAUACGAUCUACGGAUGAAAGCGGGGGAUCUUCGGACCUCGCGCGGACGGAGCGGCCGAUGGCAGAUUAGGUAGUUGGUGGGAUAAAAGCUUACCAAGCCGACGAUCUGUAGCUGGUCUGAGAGGAUGAUCAGCCACACUGGGACUGAGACACGGCCCAGACUCCUACGGGAGGCAGCAGUGGGGAAUUUUGGACAAUGGGCGAAAGCCUGAUCCAGCCAUGCCGCGUGCAGGAUGAAGGCCUUCGGGUUGUAAACUGCUUUUGUACGGAACGAAAAGCCUCUUUCUAAUAAAGAGGGGUCAUGACGGUACCGUAAGAAUAAGCACCGGCUAACUACGUG